UGCACAACCCAGGAAUGUACAGCCCAAUAAUUGGCGUCCAUCAUGGACGCCAAUUAUUGGGCUGUACAUUCCUGGGUUGAGCAUUCUCGGGCUGUGCAAGUUUGGUCCGGGGCGAUAAUACGAAGCCACUCUUUUCACAGGGCAAUAAUGUACGACCCUAUAAUUCGCGUCCACUAAUCUGAGUCCCUUGGCUUUCAAUUAUCGGGCUGCGCAUUAUUGGUACGGGUCGAGAAUGCUCGACCCAAUAAUGUACAUCCACCAACCAAUCAUACCAUCAAUCAUACCAAUAAUUGGAAGCCAAAAACCAGAGACAUUUUUUUUUUUAAGACAGCUGUCAAAAUUAGUAGGGACGUUCUGACAUGAGCUCUUGACAGUUUAAAAAUAAUCGGUUUUUUCUAGUGACAUCUUUCAAUGACAUUGACAGUGUUGACACUUGUUGGUUUACUUUACGCUUUGUUAUCAUCUUUUUAUUUUUAAGGUAUGGUUUUCAAAAGCUCUAAUAUUUGUAAUGUAUGCAUGAAAUCAUAUGGCAAGAGAACCUAAAUCGUUUUGGAACUAUAUGAACUCUAAAAGAAACAGUAGAGACUACAUGAGGGAAAGACAGCAGUAUGUAGAUUAUGAAGAGCACAGAUUGAAUCCAGCAGUGACAUGGGCCAUUUGUUCAAUAGAAUAUCUUGGUUAUAUGGAGAUUGGCUGAGAAAGCGAGGUGUAUGCUACAAGGUGCAUGUUUCUGCAAAAUAUAUUAGGGAGCUGAUACGGGCAGCCAGAAUGAGUCUGCUGAGUCGCCGGCGCCGGACGCGCGCCUCGGGCGUCUGACGUCUUCGUGUCUGUUGCCAGUUGCAGAGGAAGAUGCGAAUAGUUAUAAAGGCGUGCAUGACGUCUCUAAAGAAUGAUAGAUACAAUACUCAUCUUGUUCCCCGAGGCAUCCACCAGCUUCCAGCAGCAGUGGGAGCAGCACGCCCUGCCCCCGCUGCGCCCCCUGCACCUCUGCCUACACCCCGCACUCCGUGCCUGCCGUGUCUCCCUCCAACCUCCAGCUUCCAGCAGCAGUGGGAGCAGCACAACAUUUUUAUCAACAUUCUUAUACUCCUCAAAUACCUACAUAUAGUGAUUUUUGUAUUUUAUAAAACAAAUCAAGCCUUUACAUUAAAAAAAGUGAUAUUUGAUGAAGUGGAACUGCUGAUGCUGAUCAGAAUGGAACUCUUCAGCGACGCAUAGUUCCCGCUUAGCGAUUUGUCGUCUUCGUUAUGUUUGUUAGGCAAUUAGGCAAAAAAUUUACAAUAUGAAUUGUAAUGUAAGGUUUAAAGCAAUAAAGAUUUAUUUAUUAUUAUUAUUAUUUUAUUAAUUUAGGUUUUCAAGAUACAUUUUUGUCAAGCUCGAGAUCUGAUGGUAGAAUCUAUGAGGAAUUGAGGAAACUCCUCAAAUGUUAAAGGCAUAUUGAUGUGUAUACAUACGAUGUAGGUACAUACAUCGUAUGUAUAGAUGCAUAAACUAGUGCGCUUGCGCCUAAAACCUUGUCAAACCACUCUUGUUCAGUAUUAAAUCAGCAAUAGCAAUAAA